rnacentral:rRNA from 1 species
UGGGGAAUAUUGCACAAUGGGCGCAAGCCUGAUGCAGCCAUGCCGCGUGUGUGAAGAAGGCCUUCGGGUUGUAAAGCACUUUCAGCGAGGAGGAAGGUGGUGAGCUUAAUACGCUCAUCAAUUGACGUUACUCGCAGAAGAAGCACCGGCUAACUCCGUGCCAGCAGCCGCGGUAAUACGGAGGGUGCAAGCGUUAAUCGGAAUUACUGGGCGUAAAGCGCACGCAGGCGGUUUGUUAAGUCAGAUGUGAAAUCCCCGGGCUCAACCUGGGAACUGCAUUUGAAACUGGCAAGCUAGAGUCUCGUAGAGGGGGGUAGAAUUCCAGGUGUAGCGGUGAAAUGCGUAGAGAUCUGGAGGAAUACCGGUGGCGAAGGCGGCCCCCUGGACGAAGACUGACGCUCAGGUGCGAAAGCGUGGGGCAGCAAACAGGAUUAGAUACCCUGGUAGUCCACGCUGUAAACGAUGUCGAUUUGGAGGUUGUGCCCCUUGAGGCGUGGCUUCCGGAGCUAACGCGUUAAA